CGGAAGCGGAGACGCUCUGUGGGCGGGGCCUGUGACGCGCCUGUAGCGCCGCCCUUUGUGCCGUGGCGCCUUGUUCGCGGCCUUGGAAUAGGAGGGGCGGUCUAGCCCGCCGCCAGCGUCGCCGCCAUGGACCUAGGACCCUUGAAUAUCUGUGAGGAAAUGACUAUUCUGCAUGGGGGCUUCUUGAUGGCUGAACAGCUAUUCCACCCCAAAGCCCUGGAACAGUUGACAAAGUCUGAUUGGGAACACGUGGGACAGCCCAUUGUAGAGGCCUUGAAGGAGAUCUCCUCAGCCACAGCACAUUCCCAGCCAUUUGCCUGGAAGAAGAAAGCAUUAAUCAUCAUCUGGGCCAAGGUUCUUCAGCCCUCCCCUGUCAGCCCUUCUGACACUGAUACUCGGUGGCAGGAAGAUGUAUUCUUUUCCGUGGGCAACAUGAUCCCUACCAUCAACCACACAGUCCUUUUUGAGCUGCUUAAGUCCCUGGAAGCUUCUGGACUCUUCAUUCAGCUCCUAAUGGCCCUGCCUACCACCAUCGGCCGCUCAGAACUACAGAGCUUUCUGGAGCACAUGACUAUUGACACUUCUUCCAAGGAUGUGGCUUUCUUCCUAGAUGUCUGGUGGGAAAUGAUGAAGCACAAGGGUGAUGAACAGGACCCCUUGCUUUCCCAGUUCAGGACGAUGGCCCAUAAAUACUUGCCAUCCUCAGAUGAGUUUUCCCAUCCUCCGAAGAGGUUUAAGUCUGACCCAGAUGUAGGUCCCACCAUGCCACUUUUGGCUAUGCUGCUUAACGGGCUGAAGCAGAUCCAAAAGAGAAUCCUGUCCCUUGGAAUGAAGUGCUGUGCAUUAGCUAACUUGGCUGACAUGCUGAGCGUGUUUGCAUUGAUGGAGGAUGACACCCAGGAGGUGUCUGCCACUGUGUACCUAGACAAACUAGCGACGGUGAUCUCUGUGUGGAAUUCAGACACCCAGAACCCAUACCAUCAACAGGCCCUGGCAGACAAGGUAAAGGAGGCAGAGCGGGACGUGAGUCUCACCUCACUGGCUAAACUCCCCAGUGAGACUGUUUUCAUGGGGUUUGAGCUUAUGUACAACCUGCUGCAGGAGUGGGGUACAGAACUACAGGACAUGCUCAACAGCAGUCAGGGGACAAAUUAUGACACCUACCGGCUGUGUGACAGUCUGACUUCCUUCAGCCAGAAUUUGGAGCUCUACCUGGAUACUGCCAGCCUGCCCAAGGAGGAGAGGGAGGUGGUCUUAGAACUGGCUAAGUGUGUCAGGGACUUCCUGAGGAAAACCAGCAGAAUGCUGAACGACAAGGGCCUUGAGGACAUCACUGCCUCCAUUGCUAUGGCCAUCAUUGAACAGAAGAUGGACCGGUACAUGGAGAUGUGCUACAUUUUUGCCUCUGAGAAGAAGUGGGCCUUUUCAGACGAGUGGGUUGCCUGCCUGGUUAACAACAGGUGUCUCUUCAGAGAACCAGACUUGGUCUUGAGUCUGCUGGAAACAGUGAUGGAAGUCAUAAACUCUAAUAGGGUUAUCCCCCAGACUCACAUCAAGCAGGUAAUCUGCUUGACUCUGGAAUGCUAUGAAGACCUCUCUCUACCAGAUAAAAAUAAAGUCCUUUCUGGUGUCCUGCAUUAUUUGGGGCCAAAGGGCCUCUCAGACAGGUUGUCUAAUUACUUGGAGGGUUUUCAGGAAGAUCUCAAUACAACGUUUAACCAACUCGCACAGAGCACCUCUGAACAGGGCCUGGCUAAAGCUGUGGCCUCUGUGGCCCACCUGGUGAUCCUGAACCCAGAAGUUGUGGUGAAGAAGAUGUGUAGCCUCGCUGUGACCAACCUUGGCACACAUAGGUUUUUGGCUCAGAUUCUCACUGCCUUCCCUGCCCUGAAGUUCACAGAAGAACAAGGGCCAAAUCCAUAUACCAGUUUCAUGGUGUCCUGCCUCAAAGAAACUGUGUGGACCAAGUUCUCUACACCCAAAGAAGAGAAGCAGUUUCUGGAGCUGGUGAGCUGCCUGAUGAAUCCUGUGAAACCACAGGGGAUUCCAAUUGCUGCUCUUUUGGAGCCAGAUGAGGUGCUGAAGGAGUUUGUCCUGCCUUUCUUGAUGUUGGACAUGGAGGAGGUAGGCCUGAGUCUGAAGCUCUUCAUCCAGACCCUUGAAGCCAAUGCAGGCUUGGAAGAGUAUUGGCUGCAAACUUGCUCCCCAUUCCCACUGCUCUUCAGCUUGUGCCAGCUCCUGGAUAGCUUUAGCAAGUUCUGGCAGCUCCCCCGGGAGAAGCGCUACCUCACUCUGGACAGCAAGGAUCUUGUGACCCACAUUCUGGAACUCCUGUGUGAGAUCGUUCUAGCCAACAUAGAAACCUUCUCCCCAGACACCUGGGCCAAGUCCCUGUCCUGGCUCCACCGCAAAUUAGACCAGCUAGACUGGACCGUGGGCCUCCGACUGAAGGACUUCUUUGAAGGCCACUUCAAGUGUGAGGUGCCAGCUACCCUUUUUGAGAUCUGUAAGCUCUCUGAGGCCCAGUGGACGUCACAGGCUCACGAAGGAUAUGGGCCUGGUACAGGACUUCUCGCCUGGAUGGAGUGCUGUUCAAUCUCCAACAGUGUCACUGAACAGAUGCUUUCCCUCCUGGUAGUGAAUGUGGGCAAUCCUGAGGAGGUCAGAUUGUUUAGCAAGGGCUUUCUGGUGGCCCUGGUACAAGUCAUGCCUUGGUGUAGCCCCCAGGAGUGGCAAUACCUUCAGCAGCUGACCAGGAAGCUGUUGGAGAAACAGCUUCUUCAUGUCCCUUACAGUCUAGAGUAUGUUCAAUUUGUUCCCCUGCUCAACCUGAGGCCUUUUGCCCAGGAGCUUCAGCUCUCUGUUCUUUCCUUGAGAGCUUUCCAGUUUCUCUGCAGCCAGAGCUGUUGUAACUGGCUUCCUUUGGAUGGUUGGAGCCAUGUGGUCAAACUCCUCUGUAGCAGUCUGACCAGUGUCCUGGAUGCAGUCAGGUUGAUUCAGUCAGUGGGUCCCUGGGCCCAGGGACAAGAAGGGGAUCUUACUCAGGAAACCUUGUUUGUCUAUACCCAAAUGUUCUGUCACGUUCUGCAUAUCAUGGCCAUGCUCCCUCAGGAGGUCUGUGAACCCCUCUACGUACUGGCCUUGGAAAUCCUUACCUGCUAUGAGACCCUAAGCAAAACCAACCCUUCUGUCAGCUCCUUGCUCCAGAAGGUAGAUGAGCAGCGCUUCUUAAAGUCUAUUGCCAAGAACAUUAGCCCUGAGGAGCGGCGCCAAACCCUGCUACAAAAGAUCAACAACUUCUGACCUGUGGAGGGCAGAACAAAGCUACGCCUCCAACAUGGUUUUUCUGCAGGGCCCAGAGCUAAGAACAAACCUUACAGUUAUAUGAGAAUGUACACAGUGAAAGGAAUACAAGAGCAGUGUAAAGAAAUAGUUUCUUAGGCAGGCUUCCACCCUCCCAACUCCUAACUGGGAUCCACCAGAGGAAAGAAAACCUGAAGUUAUACGUGAACACUGAGCUUGAACUCUGGGCACCUACCGUGUAUCCUUUGGUACCUUGAACCAACAUGUUGGACUAAGGUAUGAGUAAGACUCGCCUGGAGGCCAUUCGCCUUCCGUGACCAGACUAGGAAUCACCAAACAUAGCAAUCAAGCUGGGUCUUGGAUGGUUUGGGGAAGUCCGCGCCAGUGCAAGUAACAAAUAGAGAAUUUAGUGCAAUUUAAUCACCAGGUGGAUGACUCGUGGAUACAGGGACAGUAAACAGGACAAAAAACACAAAACAGCAUUUUUUUGUUUUUUAAAUGGCACCUAUUAAAGACUGAAACUCAAAAUUUGAGACAAAACCAUCCAGUCCUUUAGAAGUCCACAGAUAGUGAAUUAUAAGGCACUGUAGUGUUUUUGCUGCCACCUGAGGUGGUGGCAGCAGGUCCUCUCAAACCCAGCCUGUGGUGAGGGGUGAUCAGUGCUACACCACAUCCUACUGCACACAGCUAACAGCAUUGGUCCACAGGACAUGCACUGGCCUGUCUGGCUUCCCCCGUUCUCUAGCUUGCUAUGGCUAAAUGGCUGUACAUUCCAUACAGAAAUGGGUCUGUCUUAGCAGGAAGCACUUGCAGCACUGGCCUACAUGAUACUUCAGAAGCUCGAGAGCAGACAUCUGUAUCCAUUUUGUAUGAAAGGGCAGUGUCAUAUGGGAUUACCCAGUAAGUGACUAUAGAAGCCAUCACUUCACUUUGUCCCUGGAGUUUCAGACCAGCUUUUUGUCUAUGUGGACAGAGAAAACUGGUCAUGAGAGGCUGUGCUAAAAAGGAAAUAGUGUAGGUAAUGACUUGCAACAAGCUCACAAGUUUGAUACUGGUCUCUACAAAAUCAGCCUGCAAAGAUGCUGGCGCCUCUGCUGGCCUCCUGACCUACUCAAGUGCUUCAGGUUCUCAGCCCUGCCUCCUGACCUUUGUCAGUGAGACCCUCUGACUAGAAGUCAGCAGGCAUGAGAAUUCGUUGUUGAUGUACGGAUGAGGACAAGGGCUGCCUAGUAAACAGUAAAAGACACACCCACAAUGUCUUUCCUAGUAUUGGAAAAUGACACUGUUUCAAAAACUAAGUUGUCACUUGCUUCUGGCCCAGUAUGGGUGUUGCCCUGAGUGGGUGGAAAGGGGGAGAGCAGUGCUUCACCUUCCAGAACUCUUGUCACAGGCCCAAGGAGGGCUCCUUAGGCUUGCAUUAAAAUUACUGCAGUGGAGGUUUGACAGGAUCCAAGUUAUCACCACAAAACAAAACAAAACAAAACAAAACAAAACAAAACAAAACAAAACAAAAAAAAGUGCUUUUGCAAAAGGCUGGUUAGAAGGGGGAGGUAAUGGGGAUUUAAAAAAGAAAACCACAAAUCCAGAGGCUUAUCAACAUCCCGAAGGCAGAGACUACCCCAGGCAUGAUUUGGUCCUUGGAAUACUGAGUAGACAAGGCAGCGAGCGUGAGUGCCUGACCCUGAGAGUAAUUAACCAUCCUUUUUGGCUUUGGCCGUGUCAAAGAGCCUGGCUGCCUUCUUGCACAACAGUGAGAACCAGUAGAGCUGGGGAGAGAUGAGGAUGGCAUUGGCCACGUUGCAGUGUAAAGGGAUAUUAAAUGGCACUUGGAGCAGGCUUAGUCCUUUUUGUUGGCCAUAGGACCAGUACAUGAACGGGAAAAGAAGGAUCCGGCAGAACAGAAAGGUGGUCACCGUGAGGAUUCCAUUGACCUUGUAAAGAAGCGUAUGCUGCUGCUUUAACUGUAAGAAAAACGGAAGGAUAAGGCAAGGUUACCAAGAGGAUGGGUGAUUGGAGUACGGAGCCCAGCCUCACGACAGUUAAGCAGGUUCUUAUACAAGUCAAGACCUACAGUGCUAAAUUGCUUGGCACCUGGACACACAAAAGCAUGUUUCCAUGCAUCUGCUUGUGGCGGCCAGAAGAUGGUAGGUUGCCUUCAUCUUACUCUCUUAUGACAGGGUCUCGCUGAACCCGGAGCUCACCCUUUCAGCUAGGUUGCACACUCAGCCAUGCCAACCUGGCACUUGCUUCCGGCCCAGUAUUUUGGCUGUUACCCUGAGUGGGUACUUGUGCAGCAAGCUGUCUUGCCCACUAAGCUAUCUCCUGAGUCACAAUAUAUAACCUCAUAAUUUUACCAAAAGUCACCUAGGCCACCACCCUUAUAGGUGUAUAAAAAGAUUGAUUAAACUGUGCCCAGGAAAAUAAUGAAACAGUGUGUGUGUGUGUGUGUGUGUGUGUGUGUGUGUGUGUGUGUGUAACUUGGGUCAGAUCAAAAGUCUUACGGUUUGGAUGAUGAAGUAAUAUAUCAAAGAGUCUCCUUACUCAGCGCUAUGCUCCUCCAAACCCCAGUCUGUUUCCUCCUUCAUUGCCUCUGCCGUUUCACACAUACGCACCUGGAUCAGAACUCUGCCCAGUGACACAAACGGAGUACUCAGUUCUGCUGUGAAGAUGCAUCCGACAAAGAAGUCUCCAAGUUCUCCUCGGAGCUUCUGUAGAGAGAAGAAAAAGAAACGAAGAUGUGGAGGGGGAAGAAGCCACUGGAAGGGAAAUCUAGGGCUAUAGGAAAAAGCUAACCAUGAGACCCUGAAGGGAGAAAAAUGUUAACAGGCAAGUGGCCAUCCAGUUCUGUCCUGUUGCUUCCCUGGCAACCACUUCUGGGGAGGAUCCAAAGGCAAAUGGAGAGAGGCUACAGCAGGCCUCCUCUGAUUUUAGAGACAGUAGGAAGGAACUCUGUAGCCUGCUUCUGUAUGUCAAAGACACUGAGCCUGUUCAACUUAACAAAUGUGCUAGAAGGCAAAGUCCUUACUGAAUGGCUCCUGGUUUUCUUCCUGAGAUAACAGUCUAGCUGAUGGAACACCUGCUCAAUAACAGGGAUAAGGAAACUUGGGGCAAAAGAGAUGGCAAUGACCUGUAAGUCCGGUGACCUAAGUUUGACCCACCUAUAGGACCUGUGUGAUGGAAGGAGAGAACUGACUCUUGCAAGUUGUCCCUUGGCCUCCACACUUGUCCCCAUACAUAUACACACAAAGUAAAUAAAUAAGAGAAUGAUAGAGUGCUGAAGUCCAUGCUUUAAUCAACACACAGAGGAAGAUUUCUAGAGGGUUGAGAAUAGACAGGGUCUAUACAGUGAGACCCUGUCUUAGGACAUAAAUAGGGCUGGAGAGAUGGCUCAGUGGUUAAGGGCACUUGCUGCUCUUCCAGAGAAUCAGAGUUUGAUUCCUAGCACCUGUGUCAAGCAGUUUAGAACUACCUGGAUCUCUAGCUCCAAGGGAUCUGAUGCCAUUUCUGGCCUCCACAGGUAUUUGCACAUCCACAUGAGUAGAUAAUCUCUAAAAUAAAUAAUGUUGAGCCAGGUGGUGGUGGUGUCACUUUUAAUCCAAGCACUGAGGAAGUAGAGGCAGGCAGACCUCUGAGAUUGAGGCUAGCCUGGUUGUAUCUAGAGAGUGAGUUCCAGAACAGCCAACACAGAGAAACCAUGUCUUGAAAAACCAGAAAAAAAAAAAAAGCAAAGAAAAAAAAAAAAAAAGAAAGGAAAAA